rnacentral:lncRNA from 1 species
UGAACAUUUUGGUUAGUUUGUGUUGUUGGAAGAAAAGUACUGCAGAUCUUAAUUUUUAAGAAUUGUUUAUUUUGAAGAGUGCAGUUUGUAAUAUGCAGGCUACAAAUUUGGGAGAUUGCAGAGAGUACAAAAACAAAUAUAUUGACUAAAGUUGACAUUUUUGCCUUUAUCCUAUUUCAGUUGACACAGAUUUUUAGGCAAUUCUACUCUGUAAGAGGCUUGUUUAAGGGUGAUGAAAUUCUUGGAAAUCAAGAUGAAGUCUCAGGGUCUGGGAUUUUAUUUUACUUUCCUUAGAGUUGGUGCGUUAGCCUGGUACUUUUCCACGGAUGCUGACUGAAGGCAUGAGACUCUUGGGUCAAAGACCAAGGACUUUACUCCUCAGAGCACAGCAAGUAGCACGACCAUCAUGUUGCCGUCGGUUCCUCAUGUCUUUCUGGGUCGCAGGAGUGAUCCUGAGCAGUCCAGACCGAUGCUGGUGUGUUUGUGUUGCAGCCAGGUCACAAAGGAAUCCUCUUUGGCCCAGAGGGAGACAUUGCCUCACUCCUCACAGUUGCUGUAAAUACAACCUGAGUUGGAUUUGGGUAUAAAGGCACCCACUGGUGAAAGACAGACCGUAGAGGUUGGGAGUGACGAACGGUGAGAAGCAGACCCUGAAAGACAGUCCAAAUAAGAGGAGCCACACAUCACCCCGGUGUUGCUCAUGGAAUUGACAAUGACAUCUGACAUAAAAUAAUGGGGAUGGUCGAGGACAUGGGGACCAUGUACAGUGAUGGGAGUAGGACUAUUGUGUCUGCACGUGAUAAGCACUGAGGAAGCACUGGUGGAAUGAACAGGCCAUUCUGAGGCUGAACUGCUGCUAAGGGAAGUCAUGAACUGCUUCGCUAAGGGAGCAUUCAUUUAUAAACAGAAACUGAAGUGAAAAAAAUGGGUAGAAACCAGCGCAGGAAAAGAUAAAAUGAAAAGCACUAAUCAGAAACCAUUCAGAAGAAAGGAAGGAAGCCAUGUCUGGAAACCUGAAUGAAUGGAUCAUUAUAAUGGUGCUUAUAAAAAGCUCUGUUUCCAGACAACCAGUUUAAAAGAGAAACAUGCUAUAUAGUAUGGUUUUCAUCAGUCAGCAAAGUGUGUAAAUUCAUCUGGAAUUUACAUUCCUUAGAAUUUACAUUCCUUCAUCCUUAGAAAUAAAUUUUAGAAAGAAUUUAUUGCACAGACACUUAAAUAAGAUAAAUAAGAGAACAUUUGAUUUUGUGAAAGCUACAUACAUGUUAUUCAUGUACUAAACUAUAAAGAUAACCACCACCAAUACAGCCUAUGUAAAAUAACAAGUGAAAAGGAGUGGGGGCACAAGAAAUAGGUUACUGCAUGCACAUAUACACUGCCAUGCAAGCAAGAAAAUAUAAAUAUUGACCAAAGCCCCCAUAGCAACUGAUUGUGAUAUUACAAUUAUAACUUUCUUAAUGUACUCUCAGUAAGGAGGAGGGGAAGGGUAGUCUGAG